UGCAAGUCGAGCGGAAACGACAACAUACCCUUCGGGUGAUUUAUUGGGCGUCGAGCGGCGGACGGGUGAGUAAUGCCUGGGAAAUUGCCCUGAUGUGGGGGAUAACCAUUGGAAACGAUGGCUAAUACCGCAUAACGUCUACGGACCAAAGAGGGGGACCUUCGGGCCUCUCGCUUCAGGAUAUGCCCAGGUGGGAUUAGCUAGUUGGUGAGGUAAUGGCUCACCAAGGCGACGAUCCCUAGCUGGUCUGAGAGGAUGAUCAGCCACACUGGAACUGAGACACGGUCCAGACUCCUACGGGAGGCAGCAGUGGGGAAUAUUGCACAAUGGGCGCAAGCCUGAUGCAGCCAUGCCGCGUGUAUGAAGAAGGCCUUCGGGUUGUAAAGUACUUUCAGUCGUGAGGAAGGCGUUGAAGUUAAUAGCUUCAUCGUUUGACGUUAGCGACAGAAGAAGCACCGGCUAACUCCGUGCCAGCAGCCGCGGUAAUACGGAGGGUGCGAGCGUUAAUCGGAAUUACUGGGCGUAAAGCGCAUGCAGGUGGUUUGUUAAGUCAGAUGUGAAAGCCCGGGGCUCAACCUCGGAACCGCAUUUGAAACUGGCAGGCUAGAGUACUGUAGAGGGGGGUAGAAUUUCAGGUGUAGCGGUGAAAUGCGUAGAGAUCUGAAGGAAUACCAGUGGCGAAGGCGGCCCCCUGGACAGAUACUGACACUCAGAUGCGAAAGCGUGGGGAGCAAACAGGAUUAGAUACCCUGGUAGUCCACGCCGUAAACGAUGUCUACUUGGAGGUUGUGGCCUUGAGCCGUGGCUUUCGGAGCUAACGCGUUAAGUAGACCGCCUGGGGAGUACGGUCGCAAGAUUAAAACUCAAAUGAAUUGACGGGGGCCCGCACAAGCGGUGGAGCAUGUGGUUUAAUU
rnacentral:rRNA from 1 species